rnacentral:rRNA from 1 species
AGAGUUUGAUCAUGGCUCAGGAUGAACGCUAGCUAUAGGCUUAACACAUGCAAGUCGAGGGGCAGCGAAUAGAUAGCUUGCUAUUUAUGUCGGCGACCGGCGCACGGGUGAGUAACGCGUAUCCAACCUGCCCAUAACUAAGGGAUAACCCAGCGAAAGUUGGACUAAUACCUUAUGUAUUCGUUUGAUCUCAUGAGAUUACGAAUAAAGAUUUAUCGGUUAUGGAUGGGGAUGCGUCUGAUUAGCUUGUUGGCGGGGUAACGGCCCACCAAGGCAACGAUCAGUAGGGGUUCUGAGAGGAAGGUCCCCCACAUUGGAACUGAGACACGGUCCAAACUCCUACGGGAGGCAGCA